AUUUUUCUUAGGUUUGUCUUUUUGUUUUCUUCCAGAUCCAAUAGCAGAAGCACGAGAGCAGCAUAAUUGGAUCGUUUCAUUCUUUGGAGUUUGCAAUGGCACGUGGAAUGAGAGGAAAAUUAGAUCAACCUUGUAAUGUUGUUGGUUAUGUUGAUCGGCAAGUACUUGGAAUCAGUCAUAUGUAUCAACAUUCAGCCUGUGAUGCAUGCUUAUACGAAAAAUUCUCCACAUGAGAGACCAUUCAAGAAGGAUGCUCCAUCAUGGUGUCAAGCUCCAUUUGAACCUGAAGGACUUUUAAGAAUUGGAUGCGAGAAGAGUGAUGAGUGCAUGGCUAAUCACAGGGAUAAUUCAUGCAUUAUAAGGGUUGAAUGAACAUGAGACACAAUACUCGACAUUGAGAAAGUAUGAUUCAGAAAAAACAAACUACUUAGCAAUCAGUUGCUUUUAUCCCUCUAGAGGUUAUAAGUAAGAUGGAAAUUUUAGAGAAAAUAUACGAGGAGCAGAAGCAACACAACAAAUACAUCCUUUCUCUCUUAGAAUCUCGAGGUGUUAAGAUAAAUUUGGGGAUAACUCCUCGUCCUUAAUAUGCUACUUCUAGGACAUGGGAGUCUUUUUCCCAUGCCUCACACUUCAAAGGAUGUUGAACAGCCUCAACAUGUAGAUGAAAUUGCAACAAAAUGAAUGUGAUGUUUUGGAUUAUUACAUUAAAUACUUUUGUAACUUUCUAUUGUUGUAUUAGAUCUUUAGACUAUCA